GACGAACGCUGGCGGCGUGCUUAACACAUGCAAGUCGAACGGAAAGGCCCUGCUUUUGUGGGGUGCUCGAGUGGCGAACGGGUGAGUAACACGUGAGUAACCUGCCCUUGACUUUGGGAUAACUUCAGGAAACUGGGGCUAAUACCGGAUAGAAGCUCCUGCUGCAUGGUGGGGGUUGGAAAGUUUCGGCGGUUGGGGAUGGACUCGCGGCUUAUCAGCUUGUUGGUGGGGUAGUGGCUUACCAAGGCUUUGACGGGUAGCCGGCCUGAGAGGGUGACCGGCCACAUUGGGACUGAGGGACGGCCCAGACUCCUACGGGAGGCAGCAGUGGGGAAUAUUGCACAAUGGGCGGAAGCCUGAGGCAGCAACGCCGCGUGCGGGAUGACGGCCUUCGGGUUGUAAACCGCUUUCGCCUGUGACGAAGCGUGAGUGACGGUAAUGGGUAAAGAAGCACCGGCUAACUACGUG
rnacentral:rRNA from 1 species